CCCCUAGAUGUUCUGGGCCGCACGCGCGCUACACUGAACAGUUCAACAAGUCUUAACCUUGGCCGAUAGGUCUGGGUAAUCUUUGAACGCUGUUCGUGAUUGGGAUAGACCUUUGCAAUUAUGGGUCUUCAACGAGGAAUUCCUAGUAAACGCAAGUCAUCAGCUUGCAUUGAUUACGUCUCUGCCCUUUGUACACACCGCCCGUCGCACCUACCGAUUGAAUGGUCCGGUGAAAUCUCGGGACGGCGGCUUGGUCGCUUGCGUCCGACUGCUGAAACUUGAUUAAACCAUAUCAUUUAGAGGAAGGUGAAGUCGUAACA
rnacentral:rRNA from 1 species